rnacentral:misc_RNA from 1 species
GAUUGAAGAACGUAGCGAAAUGCGAUAAGUAAUGCGAAUUGCAGAAUUUCCGUGAGUCAUCGAAUCUUUGAACGCACAUUGCGCCCAUUGGUAUUCCGAUGGGCAUGCCUGUUCGAGCGUCAUUAUCCUCUCUCAAACCUCGGGUUUGGUGUUGGACCCAAGUUGGUUGGUCGACCAACUGGUCUCAAAGACAAUGACGGCGUCCGUGGGACCCUCUUCGCAACGAGCUUCUCGGAGCACGCGUCGAGUUUCAAGGACCCUCCGGGCCGGUCUCCCCUAAAAUUACUUCUAAGGUUGACCUCGGAUCAGGUAGGAUUACCCGCUGAACUUAAGCAUAUCAAUAAGCGGAGGA